rnacentral:rRNA from 1 species
AUACUAAAGUUGUUGCGGUUAAAAAGCUCGUAGUUGGAUCUUGGAAUGUGUUCAAGCGGGUCAGCUUCUGGCUGUUCGCUGCUUGACGUGUUCUUCUAUUUGGUUUUGGUGCGGUGCGCUUAACUGCGUGUCGCUCCCGGCCGAAACGUUUACCUUGAAAAAAUUAGAGUGUUCAAAGCAGACCUGUUUGAGUCUGAAUAUUCGUGCAUGGAAUAAUGAAAUAUGAAUUCGGUUCUAUUUUGUUGGUUUUCGGAUCUCGAGUUAAUGAUCAAGAGGGACAGACGGGGGCAUUCGUACUCUGCCGUUAGAGGUGAAAUUCUUGGAUCGGCGGAAGACGCGCAACUGCGAAAGCAUUUGCCAAGAAUGUUUUCUUUAAUCAAGAACGAUAGUCGGAGGUUCGAAGACGAUCAGAUACCGUCCUAGUUUCGACUGUAAACUAUGCCAGCUAACGAUCAGACAGAGUUCUCUACGACUUGUCUGGCAGUUUCCGGGAAACCAAAGCGUUUGGGUUCCGGGGGAAGUAUGGUUGCAAAGCUGAAACUUAAAGGAAUUGACGGAAGGGCACCACCAGGAGUGGAGCCUGCGGCUUAAUUUGACUCAACACGGGGAAACUCACCCGGCCCGGACACAGUGAGGAUUGACAGAUUGAGAGUUCUUUCUUGAUUCUGUGGGUGGUGGUGCAUGGCCGUUCUUAGUUGGUGGAGCGAUUUGUCUGGUUAAUUCCGAUAACGAACGAGACUCUGGCAUGUUAAAUAGUCGCGGAAGUGCGUAUGCACUUGCCGAAUUGACUUCUUAGAGGGACUAGUGAUUUUAAUUCACACGAGAUUGAGCAAUAACAGGUCUGUGAUGCCCUUAGAUGUUCGGGGCCGCACGCGCGCUACAAUGAGUCGAUCAACGUGCGUAUAUUUCCAAGGCCGAAAGGUCGAGGUAAUCCGUUGAACCCGACUCGUGCUAGGGAUAGGGACUUGUAAUUGUUUCCCUUGAACGAGGAAUUCCCAGUAAGCGCAAGUCAUCAGCUUGCGUUGAUUACGUCCCUGCCCUUUGUACACACCGCCCGUCGCUACUACCGAUUGAAUGGUUCAGUGAGAUAAUCGGAUAGGUAACUCGGUGAGCAGCAAUGUUUACCAAGCAUACAUAGAAGACGAUCAAACUCAGUCAUUUAGAGGAAGUAAAAGUCGUAACAAG